UACGGAGGAUCCAAGCGUUAUCCGGAAUCAUUGGGUUUAAAGGGUCCGUAGGCGGUUUAGUAAGUCAGUGGUGAAAGCCCAUCGCUCAACGGUGGAACGGCCAUUGAUACUGCUAGACUUGAAUUAUUAGGAAGUAACUAGAAUAUGUAGUGUAGCGGUGAAAUGCUUAGAGAUUACAUGGAAUACCAAUUGCGAAGGCAGGUUACUACUAAUUGAUUGACGCUGAUGGACGAAAGCGUGGGUAGCGAACAGG
rnacentral:rRNA from 2 species